GGUGAACGCUAGCUACAGGCUUAACACAUGCAAGUCGAGGGGCAGCGGUAUCGAAAGCUUGCUUUCGGUAGCCGGCGACCGGCGCACGGGUGAGUAACGCGUAUCGAACCUGCCUCAUACUCGGGAAUAGCCUUGCGAAAGUAAGAUUAAUGCCCGGUGUUUUCAGAGUCCCGCAUGAGGCUUUGAACAAAGAUUUAUCGGUAUGAGAUGGCGAUGCGUCCCAUUAGCUUGUUGGCGGGGUAACGGCCCACCAAGGCAUCGAUGGGUAGGGGUUCUGAGAGGAAGGUCCCCCACAUUGGAACUGAGACACGGUCCAAACUCCUACGGGAGGCAGCAGUGAGGAAUAUUGGUCAAUGGGCGGAAGCCUGAACCAGCCAAGUAGCGUGCAGGAAGACGGCCCUCCGGGUUGUAAACUGCUUUUAGUUGGGAAUAAAACGGGGCUCGUGAGCCCCCUUGCAUGUACCAUCAGAAAAAGGACCGGCUAAUUCCGU
rnacentral:rRNA from 1 species